rnacentral:rRNA from 1 species
GACGGAGGACAUAUCACCCUAAACACGACUGACCUAAGCAGGGUCGGUCUGGUUAGUACUUGGAUGGGAAAUUGCCUGGGAAUACCAGGUGCUGUAA